GAUGGAGAACGUAGCGAAAUGCGAUAAGUAAUGUGAAUUGCAGAAUUCCGUGAAUCAUCGAAUCUUUGAACGCACAUUGCGCCCCCUGGCAUUCCGGGGGGCAUGCCUGUCCGAGCGUCAUUUCUGCCCUCCAGCCCGGCUGGGUGUUGGGCGCUGUCCCCCCGGGGACACGCCCCAAAGGCAGUGGCGGCGCCGCGUCGGGUCCUCGAGCGUAUGGGGCUUUGUCACCCGCUCGGGACGGACUCGUCGGCGCUGGUCUUCCUCCAGGCGACCCUUCGGGGCUCGUCUUCCUUCGGUUGACCUCGGAUCAGGUAGGGUUACCCGCUGAACUUAAGCAUAUCAAUAAGCGGAGGA
rnacentral:misc_RNA from 1 species